rnacentral:rRNA from 1 species
AACGAACGCUGGCGGCAUGCCUAACACAUGCAAGUCGAACGAGAUCUUCGGAUCUAGUGGCGCACGGGUGCGUAACGCGUGGGAAUCUGCCCUUGGGUUCGGAAUAACAGUUAGAAAUGACUGCUAAUACCGGAUGAUGACGUAAGUCCAAAGAUUUAUCGCCCAAGGAUGAGCCCGCGUAGGAUUAGCUAGUUGGUGGGGUAAAGGCCCACCAAGGCGACGAUCCUUAGCUGGUCUGAGAGGAUGAUCAGNCACACUGGGACUGAGACACGGCCCAGACUCCUACGGGAGGCAGCAGUGGGGAAUAUUGGACAAUGGGCGAAAGCCUGAUCCAGCAAUGCCGCGUGAGUGAUGAAGGCCUUAGGGUUGUAAAGCUCUUUUACCCGGGAUGAUAAUGACAGUACCGGGAGAAUAAGCUCCGGCUAACUCCGUGCCAGCAGCCGCGGUAAUACGGAGGGAGCUAGCGUUGUUCGGAAUUACUGGGCGUAAAGCGCACGUAGGCGGCUUUGUAAGUUAGAGGUGAAAGCCUGGAGCUCAACUCCAGAAUUGCCUUUAAGACUGCAUCGCUCGAAUCCAGGAGAGGUGAGUGGAAUUCCGAGUGUAGAGGUG